AUUGAACGCUGGCGGCAUGCCUUACACAUGCAAGUCGAACGGUAACAGGUUAAGCUGACGAGUGGCGAACGGGUGAGUAAUGUAUCGGAACGUGCCCAGUCGUGGGGGAUAACUGCUCGAAAGAGCAGCUAAUACCGCAUACGACCUGAGGGUGAAAGCGGGGGAUCGCAAGACCUCGCGCGAUUGGAGCGGCCGAUAUCAGAUUAGGUAGUUGGUGAGGUAAAGGCUCACCAAGCCGACGAUCUGUAGCUGGUCUGAGAGGACGACCAGCCACACUGGGACUGAGACACGGCCCAGACUCCUACGGGAGGCAGCAGUGGGGAAUUUUGGACAAUGGGCGCAAGCCUGAUCCAGCCAUGCCGCGUGCGGGAAGAAGGCCUUCGGGUUGUAAACCGCUUUUGUCAGGGAAGAAAAGGUUCUGGCUAAUACCUGGGCCUCAUGACGGUACCUGAAGAAUAAGCACCGGCUAACUACGUG
rnacentral:rRNA from 1 species